rnacentral:rRNA from 1 species
AGCGAAAUUCCUUGUCGGGUAAGUUCCGACCUGCACGAAUGGUGUAACGAUCUGGGCACUGUCUCGACCAUGAGCUCGGUGAAAUUGUAGUUCCGGUGAAGAUGCCGGGUACCCGCGACGGGACGGAAAGACCCCGUGAACCUUUACUGCAGCUUUGCAUUGAACUGUGAACCGAUUUGUGUAGGAUAGGUGGGAGGCAGAGAAGAGGCCACGCCAGUGGCCUUGGAGCCGACCUUGAAAUACCACCCUGAUUUGUUUGCGGUUCUAACCACGGACAGUGAUCCUGUCUUGGGACCGUGCAUGGUAGGCAGUUUGACUGGGGCGGUCGCCUCCUAAAGGGUAACGGAGGAGUACGAAGGUACGCUAGGUACGGUCGGAAAUCGUGCUGAUAGUGCAAUGGCAAAAGCGUGCUUGACUGCGAGAGCAACAACUCGAGCAGAUGCGAAAGCAGGUCAUAGUGAUCCGGUGGCUCUGAAUGGAAGGGCCAUCGCUCAACGGAUAAAAGGUACUCUGGGGAUAACAGGCUGAUACCGCCCAAGAGUUCAUAUCGACGGCGGUGUUUGGCACCUCGAUGUCGGCUCAUCUCAUCCUGGGGCUGUAGUCGGUCCCAAGGGUAUGGCUGUUCGCCAUUUAAAGAGGUACGUGAGCUGGGUUUAAAACGUCGUGAGACAGUUUGGUCCCUAUCUGCCGUGGGCGUUGGAAGAUUGACGGGGGCUGCUCCUAGUACGAGAGGACCGGAGUGGACGCACCUCUGGUGUACCGGUUGUCACGCCAGUGGCAUUGCCGGGUAGCUAAGUGCGGAAGAGAUAACCGCUGAAAGCAUCUAAGCGGGAAACUUGCCUGAAGAUGAGUCUUCCCGGAGGUUGAACCUCCCUCAAGAGUCGUCCGAGACCAGGACGUCGAUAGGUCAGGUGUGUAAGCGCUGUAAGGCGUUGAGCUAACUGAUACUAAUUGCUCGUGAGGCUUGAUCCU